AACGUGACUGAUAAUGCCAUCUAUCAGCCGUCUAAUUGGCGAUGAGGAUCUGCGGAGGGUAUUUUAACCAGGCCCAUGUAUCCAUCACACAGCUGUGGACAAGAUGAUGGCACUUCAUUACCAGAGUGCUAACCAGCAAAGACGAGCAAGUGCUGUGGAACAAAUAACUGUGGUGAGUAGAGAAAGAGGACAAGAAACAAUUGAGUAAAAGGAAUUGAGAAAUAUCAUGGACCAAGAACUCAAAAUUUGGCUAGUUAGCAUGGCCUAGUUAGCCUCUGUUGGUAGAUGCCAUAACUAAACGCACA